rnacentral:rRNA from 1 species
UAACGCGUGAGGAACCUGCCUCAAAGAGGGGGACAACAGUUGGAAACGACUGCUAAUACCGCAUAAGCCCACAGCUCGGCAUCGAGCAGAGGGAAAAGGAGUGAUCCGCUUUGAGAUGGCCUCGCGUCCGAUUAGCUAGUUGGUGAGGUAAUGGCCCACCAAGGCGACGAUCGGUAGCCGGACUGAGAGGUUGAACGGCCACAUUGGGACUGAGACACGGCCCAG